CUUGACCGCUGGCGGCAGGCCUAACACAUGCAAGUCGAGCGGAGCGGCGGACGGGUGAGUAAUGCCUAGGAAUCUGCCUGGUAGUGGGGGAUAACGUCCGGAAACGGGCGCUAAUACCGCAUACUAUCAGAUGAGCCUAGGUCGGAUUAGCUAGUUGGGGGGGUAAAGGCCUCCCAAGGCGACGAUCCGUAACUGGUCUGAGAGGAUGAUCAGUCACACUGGAACUGAGACACGGUCCAGACUCCUCCGGGAGGCAGCAGUGGGGAAUAUUGGACAAUGGGCGAAAGCCUGAUCCAGCCAUGCCGCGUGUGUGAAGAAGGUCUUCGGAUUGUAAAGCACUUUCAGCGGGGAGGCGUUACCCGCAGAAGAAGCACCGGCUAACUCCGUGCCAGCCGCCGCGGUAAUUC
rnacentral:rRNA from 1 species